rnacentral:sRNA from 1 species
GGGGGCGGUGGCAGGGCCGGUGGGCGGUGGCGGCUCCCGGUCUCGCCCGGGCGCGGCCCUGCGCAGCCCGCCCCCCAGCCGCAGGGGCGCUCCUGAGCUUCGCGGGGCCGCAGUCCGGGAUGCCUGCGCGAAGGGCGGGGCGGAGGGCCGGCCGUUGCCGACGUGGGUGUUAAGUGGCCGCCCCAGCCGGCGACCCGGAGCCGAGAGCGGGCGGCGGAGCCUGAGCUGGACGCGGCCACGCCGGCGCGGCGGGAUAUGUGGUGCCUGUCAUAAGCUCCAGAGAGCUGCCUUCCACAAGACCAGCAGAAGAGUGGGCAAACAUGAAAUCCAAUCCUGCUAUCCAGGCUGCCAUUGACCUCACAGCGGGGGCUGCAGGGGGUACAGCAUGUGUACUGACCGGGCAGCCCUUUGACACAAUGAAAGUGAAGAUGCAGACGUUCCCUGACCUGUACCGGGGCCUCACCGACUGCUGCCUGAAGACUUACUCCCAGGUGGGCUUCCGUGGCUUCUACAAGGGGACCAGUCCAGCACUAAUCGCCAACAUCGCUGAGAACUCAGUCCUCUUCAUGUGCUACGGCUUCUGCCAGCAGGUGGUGCGGAAGGUGGCUGGAUUGGACAAGCAGGCAAAGCUGAGGUUAACAGAGAGUCCCUGAGGGAGGCCAACUGUGGAUCUGCAGGCUGGCUGCAAGACAGCAGAAACCAUUUUAAGCUUCAGUUCUAACAAGCUGCUAAGGAGUGAAGUGGGGGAAAGGAGUGGACUAAACAGCAUUGGAUGGUUUCCACACCCCAUAAAAGCGUGUUGAUCUGCAGAAUGCAGCUGCCGGUUCCUUCGCCUCUGCCUUUGCUGCACUGGUGCUCUGCCCCACGGAGCUUGUGAAGUGCCGGCUGCAGACCAUGUAUGAGAUGGAGACAUCAGGGAAGAUAGCCAAGAGCCAGAAUACAGUGUGGUCUGUCAUCAAAAGUAUUCUUAGGAAAGAUGGCCCCUUGGGGUUCUACCAUGGACUCUCAAGCACUUUACUUCGAGAAGUACCAGGCUAUUUCUUCUUCUUCGGUGGCUAUGAACUGAGCCGGUCCUUUUUUGCAUCAGGGAGAUCAAAAGAUGAAUUAGGCCCUGUACCUUUGAUGUUAAGUGGUGGAGUUG